rnacentral:rRNA from 1 species
AACGCGAAGAACCUUACCUGGGCUCGAAAUGUAGUGGAAUCGGGUGGAAACAUCCGCGUCUCGCAAGAGACUGCUAUAUAGGUGCUGCAUGGCUGUCGUCAGCUCGUGUCGUGAGAUGUUGGGUUAAGUCCCGCAACGAGCGCAACCCUUAUCCCUAGUUGCCAUCGGGUCAAGCCGGGCACUCUAGUGAAACCGCCCGGGAUAACCGGGAGGAAGGUGGGGAUGACGUCAAGUCCUCAUGGCCUUUAUGUCCAGGGCUACACACGUGCUACAAUGGUCGGUACAAACCGUCGCAAACCCGUGAGGGGGAGCUAAUCGGAAAAAGCCGGCCUCAGUUCGGAUUGGAGUCUGCAACCCGACUCCAUGAAGCUGGAAUCGCUAGUAAUCGCGGAUCAGAACGCCGCGGUGAAUACGUUCCCGGGCCUUGUACACACCGGUACUA